rnacentral:rRNA from 1 species
UACAGAGGGGGCUAGCGUUGCUCGGAAUCACUGGGCGUAAAGCGCACGUAGGCGGCUUUCUAAGUCAGACGUGAAAUCCCUCAGCUUAACUGGGGAACUGCGUCUGAUACUGGAUGGCUUGAGUUUGGGAGAGGGAUGCGGAAUUCCAGGUGUAGCGGUGAAAUGCGUAGAUAUCAAGAGGAACACCUGAGGUGAAGACGGGUUGCUGGGCUGACACUGACGCUGAGGCGCGAAAGCCAGGGGAGCAAACGGG